UACGUAGGGUGCAAGCGUUGUCCGGAAUUAUUGGGCGUAAAGAGCUCGUAGGCGGUUUGUCGCGUCGAAUGUGAAAACCCGGGGCUCAACCCCGGGCCUGCAUUCGAUACGGGCAGACUAGAGUUCGGUAGGGGAGUCUGGAAUUCCUGGUGUAGCGGUGAAAUGCGCAGAUAUCAGGAGGAACACCAGUGGCGAAGGCGGCUCACUGGCCCGGUACUGACGCUGAUGUGCGAAAGCGUGGGGAGCAAACAGG
rnacentral:rRNA from 1 species